rnacentral:sRNA from 1 species
UAAUAAACCGUAUUGAAGCGAUAUCCCCGAUUCUUUCCUCAUCGGGGAUUUAUCGGAAAGACGGGCUGCAU